rnacentral:lncRNA from 1 species
UUGGACAGAGGUUAAUCGACGUGGUGUAUUGAAACUCAGUUAUAAUUAAAAAGAUUCAUAUUGUGGACUGUUGAAUGACUUGUACACAGGUUAAUCGACGAGGUGUACCGAACCUCAGUUAUAAUCUAAAAGAUUCAUAUUGUGGACUAUCGAAGCAUCCUACCGCUUAUUUUGCUAGAAGAAUAUACAAUACAGCCUAGAUUUGAAGACAUGACCAACAAAUGCUCAAGGUAAGUAUGUACCUAACAGGCAUGGACAUGAAUAUUACAUAGUAGCACAAAUAAGCAGAGCAUACCCUUACAUGUCAGUCCUAGUGCUUGGUUCAUGUUAAGAUGUAGACCUUGGAGGUACCCGGACUGAAUACUCAAGUCCCAUGGUAGUCAUAGUAACUCUUUAGAUACUAAAAAA